GACGUCGAUAUCCGACGUCAUAAACACGAUCAGCUUUGGUGUUUAUGACGUCGACGUUAUAAACACGAUCAACUUUGCUGUUUAUGACGUUGAUAUUCGACGUCAUAAACACGAUCAACUUUGUUGUUGAUGACGUCGAUAUUCGACGUCAGAAACCGGACCAACUUUGGUGUUUAUGACGUCGACGUUAUAAACACGAUCAGCUUUGGUGUUUAUGACAUCGAUAUUCGACGUC
rnacentral:miRNA from 1 species